AACCUAGCACACCUGCGGUGUGUACCUGCGGAGGGAUCAUUACAUGGCGGAGGAGGUGGGCACCUGGCCAAAAAAAACUCCAGGUUGUCAUGCCUUCACGCUCUUCCACCCUUGUCUAUUUGUACCUUUUGUCGUUCCCUCGGCGGGUUUCGACCCGCCGGCGGUAACCAUUGAAAACCCUUUUUGCAGUUUAGCAUCCAAUUCUUCUGAUCAAAUAUCAAAUCGUUACAACUUUCAACA
rnacentral:misc_RNA from 1 species